UAAUAAAUCUGAAGGAGACACUUCGAAAACUUCUUUCAAGAGAAACUCUAGCUGCAACUGAAGGACAAAUAUAUCUGGGAGUUCAAACCUGGGCAACACAUAAAGUGGAGGAAGGAGAGUAUGCAACCCUUAGAGAAGCAAUGUGUGAUUUUCUACCUUCAAUUGAAUUUGAUCAUAUGGGGGUUAAUGAUUUCUUAAAUACUGUUGUACCCAGCAAUACGUUAACUAUAGAACAGUUUCGGUUGAAGUGUAUCGAUGUCAUGAGAGGAUCUCUGAAAAGAAAUAGCUGUUUCACUACUCAAAAGGGUUCCGGGAAACAGUGCCAGAUAACCCUUAGGAAUGC